rnacentral:tRNA from 1 species
GUCUUAUUAGCUUAAUAGGUAGAGCUGAAUACUUCUAAUAUUUAGAUCCAAGUUCAAGUCUUGGAUAAGAUU